AACGAACGCUGGCGGCAUGCCUAACACAUGCAAGUCGAACGAGACCUUCGGGUCUAGUGGCGCACGGGUGCGUAACGCGUGGGAACUUGCCCUUAGGUUCGGAAUAACUCCCCGAAAGGGGUGCUAAUACCGGAUAAUGUCUUCGGACCAAAGAUUUAUCGCCUUUGGAUGGGCCCGCGUUGGUUUAGCUAGUUGGUAGGGUAAAAGCCUACCAAGGCGACGAUCCAUAGCUGGUCUGAGAGGAUGAUCAGCCACACUGGGACUGAGACACGGCCCAGACUCCUACGGGAGGCAGCAGUGGAGAAUAUUGGACGAUGGGCGAGAGCCUGAUCCAGCAAUGCCGCGUGAGUGAUGAAGGCGUUAGGGUUGUAAAGCUCUUUUACACGGGAUGAUAAUGACAGUACCGGGAGAAUAAGCUCCGGCUAACUCCGUG
rnacentral:rRNA from 1 species